rnacentral:rRNA from 1 species
AAACUGGAGAGUUUGAUUCUGGCUCAGAACGAACGCUGGCGGCAUGCCUAACACAUGCAAGUCGUGCGAGAAAGUGGCUUCGGCCAUGAGUAGAGCGGCGCACGGGUGAGUAACACGUGGGUAAUCUGCCUUUUUGUCUGGGAUAACCUCUCGAAAGAGAGGCUAAUACCGGAGAGACCACGAGGACAUCAGUUCUUGAGGUUAAAGAUGGGGACCUCUUCGGAGGCCUAUCGCAAUUAGAUGAGCCCGCGGGCUAUUAGCUAGUUGGUGAGGUAACGGCUCACCAAGGCAGUGAUGGCUACCUGGUCUGAGAGGAUGAUCAGGCACACUGGAACUGAGACACGGUCCAGACUCCUACGGGAGGCAGCAGUGGGGAAUUUUGCACAAUGGGCGCAAGCCUGAUGCAGCAAUGCCGCGUGAGUGAAGAAGGCCUUCGGGUUGUAAAGCUCUGUCGGUUGGGAAAAACGAUCAGUGUGUUAAGAAUGCAUUGAAGUGAUGGUACCAGCAAAGGAAGGGGCGGCUAACUCUGUGCCAGCAGCCGCGGUAAUACAGAGGCCCCAAGCGUUGUUCGGAAUCACUGGGCGUAAAGCGGGUGUAGGUGGUUGAGCAAGUCAGAUGUGAAAGCCCUGGGCCUAACCCAGGAAGUGCGUCUGAUACUGUUUAACUAGAGUGCGAAAGAGGGAAGUGGAAUUCCUAGUGUAGGGGUGAAAUCCGUAGAUAUUAGGAGGAAUACCAAUGGCGAAGGCAGCUCUCUGGUCCGUAACUGACGCUCAGACCCGAAAGCAUGGGUAGCAAACAGGAUUAGAUACCCUGGUAGUCCAUGCCGUAAACGAUGGAUGCUUGUCGUUGGAAGUGUCAACCCUUUCAGUGACGGAGCUAACGCGUUAAGCAUCCCGCCUGGGGAGUACGGUCGCAAGAUUAAAACUCAAAGAAAUUGACGGGGACCCGCACAAGCAGUGGAGCAUGUGGUUUAAUUCGACGCAACGCGAAGAACCUUAUCCUGGUCUUGACAUCUAUUGGACCGGUCCUGGAAACAGGCCUUUCUCUUCGGAGACUGAUAGACAGGUGCUGCAUGGCUGUCGUCAGCUCGUGUCGUGAGAUGUUGGGUUAAGUCCCGCAACGAGCGCAACCCACGCCCCUUGUUGCCAGCAUUAAGUUGGGCACUCUAGGGGGACUGCCAGUGUCAAACUGGAGGAAGGUGUGGAUGACGUCAAGUCCUCAUGGCCUUUAUGAUCAGGGCUACACACGUGCUACAAUGCAGAGUACAAAGGGCUGCGAAACCGCGAGGUGAAGCCAAUCUCAAAAAGCUCUGCUCAGUUCGGAUUGGAGUCUGCAACUCGACUCCAUGAAGCUGGAAUUGCUAGUAAUCGCAGAUCAGCAUGCUGCGGUGAAUACGUUCUCGGGUCUUGUACACACCGCCCGUCACACCACGAAAGUUGUUUGCACCAGAAGUCGCUGUGCCAACCGCAAGGGGGUAGGCGCCCAAGGUGUGAGCGAUGAUUGGGGUGAAGUCGUAACAAGGUAGCCGUAGGAGAACCUGCGGCUGGAUCACCUCCUUUCUAAGGAGA